rnacentral:rRNA from 1 species
UACGUAGGCAGCGAGCGUUGUUCGGAGUUACUGGGCGUAAAGAGUGCGUAGGCGGUUUUCUAAGUUUGGUGUGAAAUCUCCCGGCUCAACUGGGAGGGUGCGCCGAAGACUGGAAGGCUUGAGUAUGGGAGAGGUAAGCGGAAUUCCUGGUGUAGCGGUGAAAUGCGUAGAUAUCAGGAGGAACACCUGCGGUGUAGACGGCUUACUGGACCAUAACUGACGCUGAGGCACGAAAGCGUGGGUAGCGAACAGG